UAAAAAGCUCGUAGUUGGAUCUGUGUAUCGGACGGUCGGUUCGCCGCUCGCGGCGUUUAACUGACCGGUCCGGACGUCCUGCCGGUGGGACCCGGUUCGCGCCGGGGCCCGUAACUCCCUCCGCGCUGCUCUUAACCGAGUGGUGCGGUGGGCCGGCACGUUUACUUUGAACAAAUUUGAGUGCUCAAAGCAGGCCUUAUGUUGCCUGAAAACUGUGUGCAUGGAAUAAUGGAAUAGGGCCUCGGUUCUAUUUUGUUGGCUUUUCUGAACCCGAGGUAAUGAUUAAUAGGGACAGACGGGGGCAUUCGUAUGGCGACGUUAGAGGUGAAAUUCUUGGAUCGUCGCCAGACGGACCGAUGCGAAAGCGUUUGCCAAGAAUGUUUUCGCUAAUCAAGAACGAAAGUUAGAGGUUCGAAGGCGAUCAGAUACCGCCCUAGUUCUAACCAUAAACGAUGCCAGCCAGCGAUGCGCCGAAGUUCCUCCGAUGACUCGGCGCGCAGCUUCCGGGAAACCAAAGCUUUUGGGUUCCGGGG
rnacentral:rRNA from 5 species